rnacentral:rRNA from 1 species
AUUGAACGCUGGCGGCAUGCUUUACACAUGCAAGUCGAACGGUAACAGGUUAAGCUGACGAGUGGCGAACGGGUGAGUAAUGCAUCGGAGCGUGCCCGAUCGUGGGGGAUAACGCAGCGAAAGCUGCGCUAAUACCGCAUACGAUCUGAGGAUGAAAGCGGGGGACCGUAAGGCCUCGCGCGAUCGGAGCGGCCGAUGUCAGAUUAGGUAGUUGGUGGGGUAAAGGCUCACCAAGCCGACGAUCUGUAGCUGGUCUGAGAGGACGACAAGCCACACUGGGACUGAGACACGGCCCAGACUCCUACGGGAGGCAGCAGUGGGGAAUUUUGGACAAUGGGCGCAAGCCUGAUCCAGCAAUGCCGCGUGCAGGAAGAAGGCCUUCGGGUUGUAAACUGCUUUUGUACGGAGCGAAAAGGUCCUUUCUAAUACAGAGGGCUCAUGACGGUACCGUAAGAAUAAGCACCGGCUAACUACGUGCCAGCAGCCGCGGUAA